rnacentral:rRNA from 1 species
UACGUAGGGUGCAAGCGUUGUCCGGAAUUAUUGGGCGUAAAGAGCUCGUAGGCGGUUUGUCGCGUCGAAUGUGAAAACCCGGGGCUCAACCCCGGGUCUGCAUUCGAUACGGGCAGGCUAGAGUUCGGUAGGGGAGAUCGGAAUUCCUGGUGUAGCGGUGAAAUGCGCAGAUAUCAGGAGGAACACCGGUGGCGAAGGCGGAUCUCUGGGCCGAUACUGACGCUGAGGAGCGAAAGCGUGGGGAGCGAACAGG